AUCUUGGGAUAGUGAUUCAAUAAAUAAUAGGUCCCCUGUCUACAGCGCACGCGUCCUUGAGCCACGCAGGUGCAUGAUGACGUCAUACCGUGGCUUCACUGCAGAUUGACCAAAGGAGCAUUAGUGGAAAAAACAGUGUAGCCCUGAGACAAUAGGAUGAUGUCUGGACCAAUGAGAACGGCCAGCGGGGGGCGCAGGAAUGCUCUUCUCACUUAGCCUCACGACCAAUGAGCAACGAGAGAAGAGGGCGCAGGAAUGCUCUUCUCUCUUAGCCUCUCGCAGGUGGCGGUAGGAGCGCGCAGAGGGCGCUACGAGCGCGCGCAUGCGUAGCACUCGUAGAGUGGCGCUUACGUCAGUCCACCUCUGGCUCUCGUUGGGAGAAGACGUGCGGUCGUUCGCUCCGUCGUCACUUGAUCCCUGGCUGUCGACGAGAGCAGUCGCAUCGGUCUGCGCUCCUACUGUGAGCUGUCCUAACUUGCCCAGACAUGCCGUGAUGACGUCACAGCUGACGUCACAGGAUGUCCGGAACUGGUGGUCAUAGCUGCGAUGCUUUGCAACCUGCCUCUGUGCUCCGUCGCCCAGCGACGGUCAGCGGCCUUUCCGGACCGCUUUCUUCAAGAUGGCGCCGUUGAUCUUCAAUUAAACUCCUUCUCUCCACUCUA